UCUUUUGCAGCCUACUUUGAGA
rnacentral:siRNA from 1 species